CCUACGGGAGGCAGCAGUGGGGAAUAUUGCACAAUGGGGGAAACCCUGAUGCAGCGACGCCGCGUGAGUGAAGGAGUAUUUCGGUAUGUAAAGCUCUAUCAGCAGGGAAGAUAAUGACGGUUACUGACUAAGAAGCCCCGGCUAACUACGUGCCAGCCGCCGCGGGAAUACGUAGGGGGCAAGCGUUAACCGGGUUUACUGGGUGGAAAGGGUGCGUAGGCGGGCGGGCAAGUCAGAUGUGGAAGCCCGGGGCUCAACCCCGGUACUGCAUUUGAAACUGUCCAGCUGGAGUGCAGGAGGGGUAAGCGGAAUUCCUGGUGUAGCGGUGAAAUGCGUAGAUAUUAGGAGGAACACCAGUGGCGAAGGCGGCUUACUGGACUGUAACUGACACUGAGGCACGAAAGCGUGGGGAGCAAACAGGAUUAGAUACCCCAGUAGUC
rnacentral:rRNA from 1 species